UGGAAUCAUAUUUUUCGUACAUUUUCUGUUCAAUUCUUGUGCUUUAGAGAAAUUUUGUUUUUUGGUUUUGCUGAUUUGGGAUUUGGUGGUGUUAAAGGAUGCGGAGCUUGCCCAAGUAAUGGAAGGAUCAAUUGAUUAUGAUCCCAUUACUCCUGAACUGUAUCAAAGGGUAUCUUCAAUAAUCCAUGUGAAAGAGGAAGAUGUCAUUACCAUCUCUUGUUCACUAAUGAAUUCUGGUUAUCUUUGUCGUCUUUUGAGGUUACUGGCAGGGCAGUUCAAAAUUUAUUUCAAACAUUAAGGGUUGCCAUUGUUGUGGCUAGUAUGUGUUCACAAUUUUGCUCUCUAGGUACCAUGUCUUCUUAUUAUGCAGGGUACUUCUCGGGUGACAAAAAAUCCCAAGCACAACAGCAGGGUACUUCUAGGGUGACAAAAAAUCCCAAGCACAACAGCCUGAAGCUAAAGUCAUAUUGGCUUGCAUACCAGGAGCUGAUCCAAGUUUACUUCGAAGCGACUGAUGUUAUUAUCAACUCUAUCAUUGUUUCUCAGUGUAGUGUUAAGUGGACUACCACUCCUGUAAUAAUAGAUUGAUAAUUUUAUUCAAGUUUUGCUCGAUUCUAUGCUUGUAAGUUUGGUAACAGGUCUUGUAACUUUAUGGUCGAUAUACUUGCAAUUUUAUGCCAAGUGUCCAAGUCCUGGAUGAAUGGUCAUUGUUAUCGCAUUUCCUUAUGUUAAAGAGGCUUUGGUCAGUGAUGUAACUACCCUUUAU